rnacentral:rRNA from 1 species
AGAUUAAGCCAUGCAUGCGUAAGUGCAUACCAGAUAUGGUGAAAACCGCGAAUGGCUCAUUACAUCAGUCGUAGUUUAUGGGACAAUAUGACAGGUGGACAACUGUGGAAAAUCUAGAGCUAAUACAUGCACACAAGUCCUGACGAAAGAAAGGACGCAUUUAUCAGAUCAAAGCCAACGUUCUCGCAAGAGAACAAAAUUAUGAUGACUCUGGGUAAAUUUUCGGAUUGCACUGCCUCCGAGCAGGCGACGUUGAUUGCAAGUGUCUGACCUAUCAACUUUUGAUGGCAGUCGACAUUACUGCCAUGGUUGUAACGGGUAACGGGAAAUCAGGGUUCGAUUCCGGAGAGAGAGCAUGAGAAAUGGCUGUCACAUCCAAGGAAGGCAGCAGGCGCUCAAAUUACCCAAUCCCCGAUCGGGGAGGUAGUGACGAGAAAUAGCGAUGCCGCGAUCUUUUGAUUCGGCAGUUGAAAUGAAACAAUGAAAGAAUUUUAUCGAGAAUCUAUUGGAGGGCAAGUUCUGGUGCCAGCAGCCGCGGUAAUUCCAGCUCGAAAAGCGUAUGUUAAAGUUGCUGCGGUUAAAACGCUCGUCUUGGACAUCAGGAGCUGGAUCGUGGACAACCUAAAAGUUGCUACUACGGUUUCACUCCUUUUUUAUGCCAGUUCAUCGAUGAUGCACUUGAGUGUGUGUCGCGGUAGAAGGUCAAUGUCACUUUGAGAAAAUUAGUGUGCUCAACGCAGGCUUUNCGCUUGUAUAAUGCUGCAUGGGAUGACGGAAUAGGGCCUCGGUUCCGUUUCGUUGGUUUACGAAAGCAGAGGUCAUGAUUAAUCGGGACAGACGGGGGCAUUCGUAUUGCGAUGAUAGAAGUGAAAUUCUGUGACCAUCGCAAGACGGACAACUGCGAAAGCAUUUGCCAAGAAUGUUUUCAUUAAUCAAGAACGAAAGUUAGAGGAUCGAAGACNAUUAGAUACCGUCCUAGUUCUAACUGUAAACUAUGCCGACCGGGGAUUCGCCAAUGCAAUUUAGCUUGGCGAGCACCCUCCGGGAAACCAAAGUGAUUGGGUUCCGGGGGGAGUAUGGUUGCAAAAUCGAAACUUAAAGGAAUUGACGGAGGGGCACACCAGAAGUGGAGCCUGCGGCUCAAUUUGACUCAACGCACGAAAGCUUACUCGGUCCGAACACCGUGAGGAUUGACAGGUUGAAAGCUCUUUCUUGAUCCGGUGGGUAGCGGUGCAUGGCCGUUCGUAGUUGGUGAAGUGAUUUGUCUGGUUUAUUCCGAUAACGAACGAGACUCUAGCCUACUAAUUAGCGUAAUGAUUGUACGUCUUUACAAAUGCUUCUUAGAGGGACAGGUGUUGCUUAAACACACGAAGUAGAGCAAUAACAGGUCUGUGAUGCCCUUCGAUGUUCGAGGCUGCACGCGCGCUACAAUGGAGGGCGCAAAGCGCACUACGCAUUUUGAAAAGGAUGCGGAAUCGUAAAUAGCCUUCAUGACUGGGAUCGGAGAUUGAAAUUAUUCUUCGUGAACGAGGAAUUCCUAGUAAGCGCGAAUCAUUACCUCGCGUUGAUUAAGUCCCUGCCCUUUGUACACACCGCCCGUCGCUACUACCGAUUGAAUGAUUUGGUGAGGUCUGUGGAUAGGUGCCACUAGGUUAAUACCUUGGUGUACAUACCUAGAAGCUGACCAAGCUUAAGCGUUUAGAGGAAGUAAAAGUCGUAACAAGGUUU